CAGUUUGAACCAGACAGACACAGUGAAUUUUUCACUUUUACAUGCAGCUCUUUUUUGUAAGUUCCCCUGUAAGGCCACCCAGGAACAGUCUACCGUUGGGAUUGUGACGGCGUUUCCUUCUCUCAAAGAUCCAUAUGCCAAGAAAGGCUAUGAGCAUCUUUCUGAUGCUGCAAGUGGAUCAGGGUACAUCUCAUGGCGGCUGAAAAAAAAAAAGGCAAAUGACUCCUCAGCCACCGGACAGCCCUGUUGACUAUUCUCAAGGAGGCCCAACACAUCAGAGGACUGUUCAGGUCGAACAACAGCUGAACGGUGAUGCCAAGAGUCUUCAGAUAAUGAUUUGUACAUAAUUUCAUCUUUUACAGUGUUUUAAAGAAAAUAAAGGCUUUACAUGCACUGAAUGUGUUUUUUACAGUGUACCGUAAUUUACACUUCACAGUGUGUAGUUACAACUCUCCAGGAUGUUAAAUUAACUCAAGUUAAGUGUAAAAAUAAAACACCUCUGUGUGUUGUUUAGCUAAAUCAGGAUAACUCUACAAAGUGUUAACCCUUUACUCUCAAAAUGUUAAUUUAACUCUUGAUUUUGGGGUUAAACAGUAACUUUGGUCCAGU